rnacentral:ncRNA from 1 species
ACGCGGGGCGUCGCUCGAGGGCGACUGAGAAGCACCCGUCGAACCUGAUCCGGUUGAUACCGGCGGAGGGAACGUG